rnacentral:rRNA from 1 species
UAGGCGACCGGGUGAGUAACACGUGACCAAUCUACCCUGGAUGGGGGAUAACCUCGGGAAACCGGGGCUAAUACCGCAUAACAUCCCUGGAUCGGAAGAACUGGGGAUCAAAGGAGCAAUUCGCUUCAGGAGGAGGUCGCGGCUGAUUAGCUAGUUGGCGGGGUAAUGGCCCACCAAGGCGAAGAUCGGUAGCCGGCCUGAGAGGGCGCACGGCCACACUGGAACUGAAACACGGUCCAG